rnacentral:piRNA from 1 species
UGCAGACCCUACCAUAGCCUUCGGC